ACGGAAGGCAGCAGUGGGGAAUAUUGCACAAUGGGGGAAACCCUGAUGCAGCGACGCCGCGUGAGUGAAGAAGUUAUUCGUAAUGUAAAGCUCUAUCAGCAGGGAAGAAAAUGACGGUACCUGCCUAAGAAGCCCCGGCUAACUACGUGCCAGCAGCCGCGGUAAUACGUAGGGGGCAAGCGUUAUCCGGAUUUACUGGGUGUAAAGGGAGCGUAGACGGUCUAGCAAGUCUGAUGUGAAAGGCAGGGGCUCAACUCCUGGACUGCAUUGGAAACUGUUAGUCUUGAGUGUCGGAGAGGUAAGCGGAAUUCCUAGUGUAGCGGUGAAAUGCGUAGAUAUUAGGAGGAACACCAGUGGCGAAGGCGGCUUACUGGACGAUAACUGACGUUGAGGCUCGAAAGCGUGGGGAGCAAACAGGAUUAGAUACCCUGGUA
rnacentral:rRNA from 1 species